CCCCGCUACUCCUCUGCAUUCUCACAACAGAGGGCGCCCAGGCAGCGCCCCGGGUUGACCAGCCACCCCUACUCUCUCCUCGGCCUUGGAGCCUGAGAAGCCCUAAGCAGCGGGGGAGAAUGCGCCCCCAGCCACGCACCUCGGGAGCCCGCGCUGAUGCCCAAUUCUCCGGAACAUGCGAGGAUUUCUCAAAGUCUCUACAGGCAUCUCAUUCUAAGAAUUUUCUUUAUGAAGUCUUUUGAUCAGCAUGCAGCUUACUCCAGCCGUUACCACCAUCUGACAGCUGCCAAGAAAGCUAGACAAUUGCUGAUUUUUAUUUUCGAUGAACAACCCUGAAAACAGACUAUUCAUAGUGGAUGGGUUCUACAUCUGAUCCAGUAAAGAGAAUCUCUACAGAUGAAUUAAUCUUGGAAAUUACUAGACAACUCCAGCUGAGAUCAGCCAACAGCCAAUGUAUCCCAACUCACCUGGGCCAGCCUGUGCAAAAGAGUGCGAGAGAUAAGCUGAGACCCAGCUGACCAUCAGCACCUAAAUAAUAAACACUUCUUUUGAUAGAAGAAACAUUGGUUUAAAUCAAAAUCGUAACCCCUCAUCUGUCACGUCAACCUGGGUUGAGAGAUGGCCUUCUUCGUUCCUGAUUCCCUUCUUCAACCUAUCGCUACCAGCCAAAUCAAGAGACUCUCCAAAAACACUCAGAGUUAGUGGGCAUAGCUAGUAAGCCGUGGCUGUAAAAUCUUCUAGGGAAAGUAAUAAACCGAAGAAAUAAAACCAAAAAUGCAUGACAAAAUCAUACUCGUACUAAAGAGAAAGAAAAAAAUUGUACCAUGGCCCUAGUGCCUCUUGCCAAUGAAUUAUCAAUGUUUUUCAGGUUCAUCCUAAAAUAUUUAUUUCCUUGAAACUUAUAGAAUGAAUCUUUCUUGAACUGGAAUUGAAAGUUCUAAUAUGCAACUACAACUCUCUACUGAUGAAAAUUAUACAAUUGCACUUCAUUGCUUUCCAAGUAAAAUUAUACACUGUA